UGAAUACGAGACGCUACGGCGUCGAAGCAGUCUAUGUCAUACUUCCAAGAAAAGCUCGCAAUGUCAUAAACAAAUAAUGCCUGUACCAUAACCGACACAGGUGGGUAGGUAGAGUAUACUAAGGGGCGCGAGAUAACUCUCUCUAAGGAACUCGGCAAAAUGACUCCGUAACUUCGGGAGAAGGAGUGCCUUAUUUAUAAGGUUGCAAUAACAAGAUCCAAGCAACUGUUUAUCAAAAACACAGGUCUCCGCUAAGUCGUAAGACGAUGUAUGGGGGCUGACGCCUGCCCAGUGCCAGAAGGUUAAAGAAGUUGGUUAGCAUUCGCGAAGCUGAUAACUGAAGCCCUGGUGAACGGCGGCCGUAACUAUAACGGUCCUAAGGUAGCGAAAUUCCUUGUCGGGUAAGUUCCGACCCGCACGAAAGGCGUAAUGAUUUGGAUACUGUCUCGGAGAGGGGCUCGGUGAAAUAGACUUGUCUGUGAAGAUGCGGACUACCUGCACCUGGACAGAAAGACCCUAUGAAGCUUUACUGUAACUUGAAAUUGAAAUUGGACUUUAUUUGCGCAGCAUAGGUGGGAGGCGUUGAGAGUAUUCUUGCGGGAAUAUUGGAGCCAUCAGUGAGAUACCACUCUUGUAAUGUUAGAUUUCUAACUUUGGAUCAUUAUCUGGUCAAAGAACAGUUUCAGGCGGGCAGUUUGACUGGGGCGGUCGCCUCCCAAAUGGUAACGGAGGCGUACAAAGGUUUCCUCUGAACGGGUAGAAAUCGUAUCUAGAGUGUAAAGGCAUAAGGAAGCUUGACUGUGAGACCUACAAGUCGAGCAGGGACGAAAGUCGGUCUUAGUGAUCUGACGGUGCUGAGUGGAAAGGCCGUCACUCAACGGAUAAAAGUUACUCUAGGAUAACAGGCUGAUCUCCCCCAAGAGUUCACAUCGACGGGGAGGUUUGGCACCUCGAUGUCGGCUCAUCGCAUCCUGGGGCGGUAGUACGUCCCAAGGGUUGGGCUGUUCGCCCAUGAAAGCGGUACGCGAGCUGGGUUCAGAACGUCGUGAGACAGUUCGGUCCAUAUCCGGUGUAGGCGUUAGAAUAUUGAGAGGAGCCUUCUUUAGUACGAGAGGACCGAGAAGGACAUACCUCUGGUGUACCAGUUAUCGUGCCAACGGUAAACGCUGGGUAGCUAUGUAUGGAGAGGAUAACCGCUGAAAGCAUCUAAGUGGGAAGCCCACCUCAAGAUAAGUA
rnacentral:rRNA from 1 species